rnacentral:rRNA from 1 species
GACGAACGCUGGUGGCGUGCCUAAUACAUGCAAGUAGAACGCUGUUGCGAACGGGUGAGUAACGCGUAGGUAACUGCCUUAUCGCGGGGGAUAACGAUUGGAAACGAUAGCUAAUACCGCAUACUGUGAGAUGGACCUGCGGUGUAUUAGCUAGUUGGUGAGGUAAAGGCUCACCAAGGCGACGAUACAUGGCCGACCUGAGAGGGGUAUCCGCCACACUGGGACUGAGACACCGCCCAGACUCCCUCGGGAUGCAGCAGUAGGGGAUCUUUGGGAAUGGACGGAAGUCUUGCCGGGCAACGCCGCGGGAGUGAAGAAGGUUUUCGGAUCGGAAAGCUCUGUUGUUAAAGGAGCGGUAUCUAACCAGAAAGGCACGGCUAACUACGUGCCAGCAGCCGCGGUAAUUC